UACGUAGGGUGCAAGCGUUAAUCGGAAUUACUGGGCGUAAAGCGUGCGCAGGCGGUUUUUGUAAGUCAGAUGUGAAAUCCCCGGGCUUAACCUGGGAACUGCGUUUGAAACUACAAGGCUAGAGUGUAGCAGAGGGGGGUGGAAUUCCACGUGUAGCAGUGAAAUGCGUAGAGAUGUGGAGGAACACCGAUGGCGAAGGCAGCCCCCUGGGUUAACACUGACGCUCAGGCACGAAAGCGUGGGGAGCAAACAGG
rnacentral:rRNA from 1 species